rnacentral:rRNA from 1 species
AUUGAACGCUGGCGGCAGGCUUAACACAUGCAAGUCGAGCGGAGAUGAGGUGCUUGCACCUUAUCUUAGCGGCGGACGGGUGAGUAAUGCUUAGGAAUCUGCCUAUUAGUGGGGGACAACAUUCCGAAAGGAAUGCUAAUACCGCAUACGUCCUACGGGAGAAAGCAGGGGAUCUUCGGACCUUGCGCUAAUAGAUGAGCCUAAGUCGGAUUAGCUAGUUGGUGGGGUAAAGGCCUACCAAGGCGACGAUCUGUAGCGGGUCUGAGAGGAUGAUCCGCCACACUGGGACUGAGACACGGCCCAGACUCCUACAGGAGGCAGCAGUGGGGAAUAUUGGACAAUGGGGGGAACCCUGAUCCAGCCAUGCCGCGUGUGUGAAGAAGGCCUUAUGGUUGUAAAGCACUUUAAGCGAGGAGGAGGCUACUGAGACUAAUACUCUUGGAUAGUGGACGUUACUCGCAGAAUAAGCACCGGCUAACUCUGUGCCAGCAGCCGCAGUAAAAC